rnacentral:rRNA from 1 species
GAUGAACGCUCGCGGCUGUCCUAACACCAGCAAGUCGAGGUAUAAGCCUUCGGGCUGAGCCCGGCGCACGGGUACGUAACGCGUAUACGAUCUGCGUUUUAUCCGGGGUAAAGCCCGAAGAAAUUUGGGUUAAUACCCCAUGGUAUCAGAGCUCGGCAUCGUAAACUUAUCAAAGCUCCGCCGUUAACCCAUGAGUAUGCGUUCUAUUAGCUAGUUGGAGACGUAACGUCUCCGCAAGGCGAUGAUAGAUAGGGGUUCUGAGAGGGAUGUCCCCCACACUGGUACUGGGAUACGGACCAGACUCCUACGGGAGGCAGCAGUGAGGAAUAUUGGACAAUGGUCGGAAGACUGAUCCAGCCAUGCCGCGUGCAGGAUGACGGCAUUAUGGGUUGUAAACUGCUUUUGGAAGGGAAGAAUAAGGAGUACGUGUACUUUGAUGACGGUACCUUACGAAUAAGCAUCGGCUAACUCCGUG